UGGGCGAAAGCCUGACGGAGACAACGCCGCGUGAGGGAUGAAGGUCUUCGGUAUCGUAAACCUUUGUCUAGAGGGACGAUAAUGACGGUACCUCUGGAGGAAGCCACGGCUAACUACGUGCCAGCAGCCGCGGUAAUACGUAGGUGGCGAGCGUUGUCCGGAAUUACUGGGCGUAAAGGGCGUGUANGCGGCCUUUUAAGUCAGACGUGAAAUCUCUGGGCUUAACCCAGAAAUUGCGUUUGAAACUGGAGGGCUUGAGGAUCGGAGAAGGCAGUGGAAUUCCCAGUGUUACGGUGAAAUGCGUUAAUAUUG
rnacentral:rRNA from 1 species